rnacentral:snRNA from 13 species
AGCUUUGUGCAGUGGCAGUAUCGUACCAAUGAGGUUUAUCCGAGGCGCGAUUAUUGCUAAUUGAAAGUAUCAUACUGUAAAGCA